AAACGAAAAAACCACCCGGCAAGGUGGUUUUUUCGAAGGUUCAAUAACCGGCAAGUUUUUGAACCGUGGUAACUGUCGUAAGAGGCGACGAGUAACCAAAUUUUGUCCUUCCAGUGUAGCCCUAAUUUAGCGCCUACAUCAAGAAAUCUCAUUACUCUCCGCCUCUUCCUGUUACCAAUGGCUGCCGCCACUGGCGAUUUUUCGUGCUAAUCAGGGUUGGAUUCAAGUCGGUUGUUACCUGAUGCAGCGCGGUAGUCGGACUAAACGGGGAGUUCGUGCAUAUAGUCCAGCUUGGAGCGAACCACCUACAAGGCACCCAGUUGCAUGGGAAGGAAUGAGAAAACGCCACCACGGUAACGGAACGGCGGUCUGCAACGGGUAAACCUCAUGGUGGGAACAGGAAAGCGCACGAGGGAGCGACUCAUCGGAAACGGUGGGGAUCUUUAAGUCCUGUCAGGUUUCGCCACUUCUGAUUUGAGCGCCGGAAAUUAUUCGAUUUCUGUGAUGUUCAUCAGGAGGGCGAAGCCUAUGGAAAA
rnacentral:misc_RNA from 1 species